GGCAGUGUUCACAGGUUUUGCAGCCAAUCUGCGGGGGUGGGGACAAAAUUUGAAAAAGAUACAUUAACGAUACUUUCUGUAAGAUUUAGAUAAAGAGCUGACCAUUCUUGCUAUGAUAGUUCAAAAAUAAAUAAUAUACAUUUUGUAGUUUCGACAUGAUGUGUGCAUUGUGGUAAUGAGGGCACAGGUAUA